rnacentral:rRNA from 8 species
AAUCCAUAGGUUAAUGAGGCGAACCGGGGGAACUGAAACAUCUAAGUACCCCGAGGAAAAGAAAUCAACCGAGAUUCCCCCAGUAGCGGCGAGCGAACGGGGAGGAGCCCAGAGCCUGAAUCAGCAUGUGUGUUAGUGGAAGCGUCUGGAAAGGCGCGCGAUACAGGGUGACAGCCCCGUACACAAAAGCGCAUGUGCUGUGAGCUCGAUGAGUAGGGCGGGACACGUGGUAUCCUGUCUGAAUAUGGGGGGACCAUCCUCCAAGGCUAAAUACUCCUGACUGACCGAUAGUGAACCAGUACCGUGAGGGAAAGGCGAAAAGAACCCCGGCGAGGGGAGUGAAAAAGAACCUGAAACCGUGUACGUACAAGCAGUGG